CAGCAGCCGCGGGAAUACGAAGGGUGCAAGCGUUAAUCGGAAUUACUGGGCGUAAAGGGUGCGUAGGCGGUUGUUUAAGUCUGUUGUGAAAUCCCCGGGCUCAACCUGGGAAUGGCAAUGGAAACUGGACGGCUAGAGUGUGUCAGAGGAUGGUGGAAUUCCCGGUGUAGCGGUGAAAUGCGUAGAGAUCGGGAGGAACAUCAGUGGCGAAGGCGGCCAUCUGGGACAACACUGACGCUGAAGCACGAAAGCGUGGGGAGCAAACAGGAUUAGAUACCCCCGUAGUCCCUGUCUCUUAUAC
rnacentral:rRNA from 1 species